rnacentral:rRNA from 1 species
UCGAGUCUUUGAACGCAAGUUGCGCCCGAAGCCAUUAGGCCNAGGGCACGUCUGCCUGGGUGUCACAC